ACAUUGGACCCUUCUUUUGUGCCAUCCACCCAACGAUAUAAACAGUUGUUGCAGAGAAAUAUCCAUGUACAAUGGAGAAUGAGUUUCAAUACAAAUUGUAUGACUGAGCCAAAACACUUCUUGAUUCAAUUCAACUUACCUCAUAAAAAGACGCUAGCAGUGUUACAUCACGAUAAUUUUUCCAGGCUUUAUGGUCAUUUCUCUCCCAUAUUAGUGCAGUGAUCGUUGAUCCAGUCGCCCUGAUGCACUACUUAUAUGGAUAAAAAGCCAAGCCAAACUAAGUAAAAUUAUUAAAGAAACAUUAUGAUCUACAAGUUUUUUACCAGAAGAAUAGCAUAGAAGCUCCAACUCAAGCAGCUGGACACAAGCACUAGCCCUCCUCUUAGGAUG